UACGAAGGGGGCUAGCGUUGCUCGGAAUCACUGGGCGUAAAGGGCGCGUAGGCGGAUCUUUAAGUCAGGGGUGAAAGCCUGAGGCUCAACCUCAGAAUUGCCUUUGAUACUGAAGAUCUUGAGACCGGAAGAGGUAAGUGGAACUGCGAGUGUAGAGGUGAAAUUCGUAGAUAUUCGCAAGAACACCAGUGGCGAAGGCGGCUCACUGGCCCGAUACUGACGCUGAGGUGCGAAAGCGUGGGGAGCAAACAGGG
rnacentral:rRNA from 1 species